rnacentral:rRNA from 1 species
AUUGAACGCUGGCGGCAGGCCUAACACAUGCAAGUCGAACGAGUGGCGGACGGGUGAGUAAUGUCUGGGAAACUGCCUGAUGGAGGGGGAUAACUACUGGAAACGGUAGCUACUACCGCAUACCAUCAGAUGUGCCCAGAGUGGAUUAGCUAGUGGGUGGGGUAACGGCGAACCAAGGCGACGAUCCCUAGCUGGGCUGAGAGGAUGACCAGCCACACUGGAACUGAGACACGGUCCAGACUCCUACGGGAGGCAGCAGUGGGGAAUAUUGCACAAUGGUCGCAAGCCGGAUGCAGCCAUGCCGCGUGUAUGAAGAAGGCCUUCGGUUUGUAAAGUACUGUCAGCGGGGAGGCGUUACCCGCAGAAGAAGCACCGGCUAACUCCGUGCCAGCAGCCGCGGUAAUUC